rnacentral:rRNA from 1 species
UACGAAGGGGGCUAGCGUUGUUCGGAAUUACUGGGCGUAAAGCGCACGUAGGCGGCUUUGUAAGUUAGAGGUGAAAGCCCGGGGCUCAACUCCGGAAUUGCCUUUAAGACUGCAUCGCUAGAAUUGUGGAGAGGUAAGUGGAAUUCCGAAGUUGUAGAGGUGAAAUUCGUAGAUAUUCGGAAGAACACCAGUGGCGAAGGCGACUUACUGGACACAUAUUGACGCUGAGGUGCGAAAAGCGUGGGGAGCAAACAGGG